GCCAAGCGGUAAGGCACCGGAUUCUGAUUCCGGCAUUCCGAGGUUCGAAUCCUCGUACCCCAGCCA
rnacentral:tRNA from 18 species